rnacentral:rRNA from 1 species
UACGUAGGGUGCGAGCGUUGUCCGGAAUUACUGGGCGUAAAGAGCUCGUAGGCGGUCUGUCGCGUCGGCUGUGAAAACCCGAGGCUCAACCUCGGGCCUGCAGUCGAUACGGGCAAACUAGAGUACUGCAGGGGAGACUGGAAUUCCUGGUGUAGCGGUGAAAUGCGCAGAUAUCAGGAGGAACACCGGUGGCGAAGGCGGGUCUCUGGGCAGUAACUGACGCUGGAGGAGCGAAAGCGUGGGGAGCGAACAGG